rnacentral:lncRNA from 1 species
UUUGGACUUCUUGGAUAUAAACAAGACUCAUAGAAAAAAGAUCUAUCAGAAUACCAGUGACUAUAAUAAACUUGCCAGUGUACUUGAUGAAUUCCAAAUGAAGUUGGGUUCAAUUUCUUUGGAGCUUUCUCAUUCCAUCGUGUUCUUCAAGGAAGCCAUAGAACACAUCAUAAGAGCAACAAGGGUUCUUCGACAACCAGGGAGUCACAUGUUACUGAUUGGAAUAGAUGGAUGUGGGAAAAAAACAUGUGCAACCUUGGCCUGUUAUUUGACAGAUAAUAAACUAUACCGAGUGCCUAUAUCUCACAAAUGUGCCUACAUCGAAUUCAAAGAAGUCUUUAAAAAGGUGUUUAUUCACGCAGGAUUAAAAGGGAAACCCACUGUUCUGAUGGUUCCCAAUUUAAACAUAGAACAAGACUCAUUUUUAGAAGAUUUGAACUACAUCAUCAAUUCAGGAAGAAUACCUGACCUGUUU